rnacentral:rRNA from 1 species
GACGAACGCUGGCGGCGUGCUUAACACAUGCAAGUCGAACGGUGAACCAGAGCUUGCUCUGGGGAUCAGUGGCGAACGGGUGAGUAACACGUGGGCAACCUGCCCAGACUCUGGGAUAACCCCGGGAAACCGGAGCUAAUAUCGGAUAUGACCACUUCGGACAUCCGAUGGUGGUGGAAAGUUUUUCGGUCUGGGAUGGGGCCCGCGGCCUAUCAGCUAGUUGGUGGGGUAAUGGCCCUACCAAGGCGACGACGGGUAGCCGGCCUGAGAGGGCGACCGGCCACACUGGAACUGAGACACGGUCCAGACUCCUACGGGAGGCAGCAGUGGGAAUAUUGCACGAUGGGCAAAGCCUGAUGCAGCGACG